CAUGUAGGCGGUUCUCUAAGCUUGGUGUGAAAUCCCGGGGCUUAACUCCGGAACUGCAUUGAGAACUGGAGAACUAGAGUGACUGAGGGGCAGCCAGAAUUCCAGGUGUAGGGGUGAAAUCUGUAGAUAUCUGGAAGAAUACCAAUGGCGAAGGCAGGCUGCCAGCAGAUGACUGACGCUGAGGUGCGAAGGUGCGGGGAGCAAACA
rnacentral:rRNA from 1 species